rnacentral:rRNA from 1 species
AGCCCUGUGAGAAUGCCCUACAUAUUCCCGAACAUGGAAAAAAGGAGCAGGCAUUAGGCACGGCCCCAAGGCCAGCCCAAAACGCCUUGCUUAGCCACACCCCCAAGGGACUUCAGCAGUAAUAGACAUUAAGCCAUAAGUGAAAACUUGACUUAGUUAAACCAAGAGGGCCGGUUAAACUCGUGCCAGCCACCGCGGUUAUACGAGAGGCCCAAGUUGAUAAAUGCCGGCGUAAAAAGUGGUUAGUAAUACACCCUACUAAAGCCAAACAUCUUCAAAGCUGUCAUACGCUCCCGAAGACAGGAAGCCCCCCUACGAAAGUGGCUUUAGGUUAUACACUCCACGAAAGCUAGGAAACAAACUGGGAUUAGAUACCCCACUAUGCCUAGCCUUAAACACAGGUGACUAUUUUACACCUAUCGCUUGCCAGGGAACUACGAGCCCCAGCUUAAAACCCAAAGGACUUGGCGGUGCUUUAGACCCCCCUAGAGGAGCCUGUUCUAGAACCGAUACCCCCCGUUAAACCUCACCCUCUCUUGUCUUUCCCGCCUAUAUACCGCCGUCGUCAGCUUACCCUAUGAAGGAUGCACAGUAAGCAGAAUUGGUAGAACCCAAAACGCCAGGUCGAGGUGUAGCGUACGAGAGGGGAAGAAAUGGGCUACAUUCACUGAACCAGUGAAGAACGGACGAUGACUUGAAAUAAACAUCCAAAGGAGGAUUUAGCAGUAAGAGGAAAAACAGAGAGUCCCUCUGAA